rnacentral:rRNA from 1 species
AGAACGAACGCUGGCGGCAUGCCUAACACAUGCAAGUCGAACGCUCGGGGUUUCGGCCCCGGGAGUGGCGCACGGGUGAGUAACGCGUGGGAACCUGCCCAGGAGUGGGGGAUAACCGAGGGGAAACUUCGGCUAAUACCGCAUACGACCUGAGGGUGAAAGAUUUAUCGCUCUUGGAGGGGCCCGCGUCGGAUUAGGUAGUUGGUGGGGUAACGGCCUACCAAGCCUGUGAUCCGUAGCUGGUCUGAGAGGAUGAUCAGCCACACUGGGACUGAGACACGGCCCAGACUCCUACGGGAGGCAGCAGUGGGGAAUAUUGGACAAUGGGCGCAAGCCUGAUCCAGCAAUGCCGCGUGGGUGAUGAAGGCCUUAGGGUUGUAAAGCCCUUUCGGCGGGACGAUGAUGACGGUACCGCAGAAGAAGCCCCGGCUAACUUCGUGCCAGCAGCCGC